rnacentral:sRNA from 3 species
GAACCUGCAGCAGGUUUGAGUUGAGCGCAGCGAAACAACGGAGCCGCUCGCGGCGACGGCCCGAAGGGCGAGCGAAGCGAGUCAUCCUGCACGACCCACCA